AGUGAACGCUGGCGGUAGGCCUAACACAUGCAAGUCGAACGGCAGCACAGUAAGAGCUUGCUCUUACGGGUGGCGAGUGGCGGACGGGUGAGGAAUACAUCGGAAUCUACUUUUUCGUGGGGGAUAACGUAGGGAAACUUACGCUAAUACCGCAUACGACCUACGGGUGAAAGCAGGGGAUCUUCGGACCUUGCGCGAUUGAAUGAGCCGAUGUCGGAUUAGCUAGUUGGCGGGGUAAAGGCCCACCAAGGCGACGAUCCGUAGCUGGUCUUAGAGGAUGAUCAGCCACACUGGAACUGAGACACGGUCCAGACCCCUACGGGAGGCAGCAGUGGGGAAUAUUGGACAAUGGGCGCAAGCCUGAUCCAGCCAUACCGCGUGGGUGAAGAAGGCCUUCGGGUUGUAAAGCCCUUUUGUUGGGAAAGAAAAGCAGCAGGUUAAUACCCCGCUGUUCUGACGGUACCCAAAGAAUAAGCACCGGCUAACUUCGUG
rnacentral:rRNA from 1 species